UGGGGAAUUUUGCGCAAUGGGCGAAAGCCUGACGCAGCAACGCCGCGUGAGGGAAGAAGGCCUUCGGGUUGUAAACCUCUGUCCUUGGUGACGAAAAAAAUGACGGUAGCCAAGGAGGAAGCCCCGGCUAACUACGUGCCAGCAGCCGCGGUAAUACGUAGGGGGCGAGCGUUGUCCGGAAUUACUGGGCGUAAAGGGUGCGUAGGUGGCCUUUUAAGUUGGAUGUGAAAUACCCGGGCUUAACUUGGGGGGUGCAUCUAAUACUGGAAGGCUAGAGUGCAGGAGAGGGAAGCGGAAUUCCUAGUGUAGCGGUGAAAUGCGUAGAUAUUAGGAGGAACACCAGUGGCGAAGGCGGCUUUCUGGACUGUAACUGACACUGAGGCACGAAAGCGUGGGGAGCAAACA
rnacentral:rRNA from 1 species